rnacentral:rRNA from 1 species
CUACGUGCCAGCAGCCGCGGUAAUACGUAGGGUGCGAGCGUUAAUCGGAAUUACUGGGCGUAAAGCGGGCGCAGACGGUUACUUAAGCAGGAUGUGAAAUCCCCGGGCUCAACCUGGGAACUGCGUUCUGAACUGGGUGACUAGAGUGUGUCAGAGGGAGGUAGAAUUCCACGUGUAGCAGUGAAAUGCGUAGAGAUGUGGAGGAAUACCGAUGGCGAAGGCAGCCUCCUGGGAUAACACUGACGUUCAUGCCCGAAAGCGUGGGUAGCAAACAGGAUUAGAUACCCUGGUAGUCCACGCCCUAAACGAUGUCUAUUAGCUGUUGGGCAACUUGAUUGCUUAGUAGCGUAGCUAACGCGUGAAAUUGACCGCCUGGGGAGUACGGUCGCAAGAUUAAAACUCAAAGGAAUUGACGGGGACCCGCACAAGCGGUGGAUGAUGUGGAUUAAUUCGAUGCAACGCGAAGAACCUUACCGGUCUUGACAU